rnacentral:rRNA from 1 species
CGGAUCGCAGGCUGCAACUCGCCUGCGUCAAGUUGGAAUUGCUAGUAAUCGCGGAUCAGCAUGCCGCGGUGAAUACGUUCCCGGGCCUUGUACACACCGCCCGUCACACCAUGAGAGUCGGGAACACCCGAAGUCCGUAGUCUAACCGCAAGGAGGGCGCGGCCGAAGGUGGGUUCGAUAAUUGGGGUGAAGUCGUAACAAGGUAAC